GGUGGGGUGGCCGAGUGGUUAAAGGCAGCAGACUGUAAAUCUGCCCGCGUGUGUGCGUCCGUAGGUUCGAAUCCUACCCCCACUA
rnacentral:tRNA from 1 species